rnacentral:rRNA from 1 species
GGGAGCUUGCUCCCUGAUGUUAGCGGCGGACGGGUGAGUAACACGUGGGUAACCUGCCUGUAAGACUGGGAUAACUCCGGGAAACCGGGGCUAAUACCGGAUGGUUGUUUGAACCGCAUGGUUCAAACAUAAAAGGUGGCUUCGGCUACCACUUACAGAUGGACCCGCGGCGCAUUAGCUAGUUGGUGAGGUAACGGCUCACCAAGGCGACGAUGCGUAGCCGACCUGAGAGGGUGAUCGGCCACACUGGGACUGAGACACGGCCCAGACUCCUACGGGAGGCAGCAGUAGGGAAUCUUCCGCAAUGGACGAAAGUCUGACGGAGCAACGCCGCGUGAGUGAUGAAGGUUUUCGGAUCGUAAAGCUCUGUUGUUAGGGAAGAACAAGUACCGUUCGAAUAGGGCGGUACCUUGACGGUACCUAACCAGAAAGCCACGGCUAACUACGUGCCAGCAGCCGCGGUAAUACGUAGGUGGCAAGCGUUGUCCGGAAUUAUUGGGCGUAAAGGGCUCGCAGGCGGUUUCUUAAGUCUGAUGUGAAAGCCCCCGGCUCAACCGGGGAGGGUCAUUGGAAACUGGGGAACUUGAGUGCAGAAGAGGAGAGUGGAAUUCCACGUGUAGCGGUGAAAUGCGUAGAGAUGUGGAGGAACACCAGUGGCGAAGGCGACUCUUUGGUCUGUAACUGACGCUGAGGAGCGAAAGCGUGGGGAGCGAACAGGAUUAGAUACCCUGGUAGUCCACGCCGUAAACGAUGAGUGCUAAGUGUUAGGGGGUUUCCGCCCCUUAGUGCUGCAGCUAACGCAUUAAGCACUCCGCCUGGGGAGUACGGUCGCAAGACUGAAACUCAAAGGAAUUGACGGGGGCCCGCACAAGCGGUGGAGCAUGUGGUUUAAUUCGAAGCAACGCGAAGAACCUUACCAGGUCUUGACAUCCUUUGACAAUCCUAGAGAUAGGACGUCCCCUUCGGGGGCAGAGUGACAGGUGGUGCAUGGUUGUCGUCAGCUCGUGUCGUGAGAUGUUGGGUUAAGUCCCGCAACGAGCGCAACCCUUGAUCUUAGUUGCCAGCAUUCAGUUGGGCACUCUAAGGUGACUGCCGGUGACAAACCGGAGGAAGGUGGGGAUGACGUCAAAUCAUCAUGCCCCUUAUGACCUGGGCUACACACGUGCUACAAUGGACAGAACAAAGGGCAGCGAAACCGCGAGGUUAAGCCAAUCCCACAAAUCUGUUCUCAGUUCGGAUCGCAGUCUGCAACUCGACUGCG